GACCAUCUGAGCUGGAAAAAGCAGCAGCAACCACCGACCUGCUGUUUGCAGGAGGACAUGGAGGCUCGUAGGACAUCGUGGGACGUUCCUUCCACCACUGCCGUCUCUCCUGCUCCCUCCCACAGCUGCCUGCAGCCUUUCCUCCUGGUAGCAAAGCGCCAGACACGUCACGUCUCAGCAGGAGCUGUUCCUCUGACCAGACUGUAACAUCCAGAAAUUCCAGACAGAGGUCUGCAGUCUUCAGAUUCCACCACUUUCACACGACUGUCAGAAGGGUGCGGGAAGGAGAAGGACAGCACAGCCACAAAAGCACAGCCGUGCAACCAUCCUUGUGCCAGCAGCUCUGCAAGCCUUUCUCUCUCAGCUUUCCUUUUGUCUAAAUAGACGCAUUGCCUUUCUUUUGCCUCUCUACUUUACAAUGCAGAACUUUCAACUUUAGGUUUCCAACUUGCCUUGCAGGAGAGCAACACAUGAGGGAACCACCUGCUACGUUCUCAGCAGGCAGCUGGAAAACACAUCUGCUAAUGGCUGCUUUCUAAAAUACCACAUUCCCCACCUAGUGCCAUUCACAGGAUUAUCACACAGGUUGCUGCCUGGUGGCUGCUGGGGAGAUCGUAUACCCAAACCAGAGGCCAAGGCUGCCUUAUAGACACCCAGUGGGAAACCUUCCCUGCUACUGAGAGCCAAAGAAAGUCAAAGCAUUGGGUGUUAUUGAGACAGAGCCAAGAUGGGAUUGGAUGUGGCUGACGCCUCUCAAGUGCGUAGAAAUAAAUGUCACCACUGUUU
rnacentral:lncRNA from 7 species